rnacentral:rRNA from 1 species
GUGAUGUGAUGCGCAAGUCCACCACUUAUACGUGAAUCAUCGAGUUGUUGAACGCACCGCACCGCGCCCUAAUCCGGCUGCGGUAUGCCCCUUUGAGCGUCAUUGUAUCCCUUCGGGAGUCUUUUCAUCGAGACCCGAGUUCGGAGUCCCCGGUCUUUGGAUCGUGUUCUCUCAGAUGCGUCGCGCCGAUCGCCUGAUGGGUCGCUCUAAUGCCUAAGCGUGGAGUCCCUCGGAGCCCGAAACGCGCUUGACCGGGUGUUGAGCCCGCGUCGCCAAGUCCGCACGUCUUACGUGGCGGUACUACAACGCAUGACCUCAUUGGGGUAGGACAACCCGCUAGACUUAAGCAUAUUAAUCAGCGGAGGAAAAGAAACUAACCAGGAUUCCCUCAGUAACUGCGAGUGAAGCGGGACCGGCUCAAUGUGUGAAUCUGGCUUGGGGUAGAUCCCUGGUCCGAGUUGUGCACUAUGGACGUUUCGUCUGCGUUUGUAAUGGCGGUGGAAGUCCGUUGAAACACGGCACCUCAGAGGGUCACAGUCCUGUACCACCUGCCUGCACUCGCGCCAAUGACAAGCGCUCCUCGAGUCGCGUAGUUUUGUAAUGCUGCGCCAAGUGGGAGGUAGAGACCUUCUAAGGCUAAAUAUGAUGACGUGACCGAUAGCACACAAGUACCGCGAGGGAAAGGUGAAAAGCAACCAUGAAAAAUGGGUUGAAACAGCAGUGAAAGCGCUACCGGGAUAAGGGCUAUCGGGUGCUGGGGCUUCUUGGGUGUGCUUCAGUGCUACCCUUGGAGACGGCCCGCGUGGGUUGAUGUUGGGGCGAUAGACGCGUCGUUGGAAUUCAGCUGUCUUUGGGCAGUGUUGUAGCCUUCGGUUGCCGAUCCUCCUGCGAC